rnacentral:rRNA from 1 species
UACGAAGGGGGGCUAGCGUUGUUCGGAUUUACUGGGCGUAAAGCGCACGUAGGCGGAUAUUUAAGUCAGGGGUGAAAUCCCGGGGCUCAACCCCGGAACUGCCUUUGAUACUGGGUAUCUUUGAGUCCGGAAGAGGUGAGUGGAAUUCCGAGUGUAGAGGUGAAAUUCGUAGAUAUUCGGAGGAACACCAGUGGCGAAGGCGGCUCACAGGUCCGGUACUGACGCUGAGGUGCGAAAGCGUGGGGAGCAAACAGGG